UAACACUCUGUCCCGCAUGGGACGGGGUUGAAAGCUCCGGCGGUGAAGGAUGAGCCCGCGGCCUAUCAGCUUGUUGGUGGGGUGAUGGCCUACCAAGGCGACGACGGGUAGCCGGCCUGAGAGGGCGACCGGCCACACUGGGACUGAGACACGGCCCAGACUCCUACGGGAGGCAGCAGUGGGGAAUAUUGCACAAUGGGCGAAAGCCUGAUGCAGCGACGCCGCGUGAGGGAUGACGGCCUUCGGGUUGUAAACCUCUUUCAGCAGGGAAGAAGCGCAAGUGACGGUACCUGCAGAAGAAGCGCCGGCUAACUACGUGCCAGCAGCCGCGGUAAUACGUAGGGCGCAAGCGUUGUCCGGAAUUAUUGGGCGUAAAGAGCUCGUAGGCGGCUUGUCGCGUCGGAUGUGAAAGCCCGGGGCUUAACCCCGGGUCUGCAUUCGAUACGGGCAGGCUAGAGUGUGGUAGGGGAGAUCGGAAUUCCUGGUGUAGCGGUGAAAUGCGCAGAUAUCAGGAGGAACACCGGUGGCGAAGGCGGAUCUCUGGGCCAUUACUGACGCUGAGGAGCGAAAGCGUGGGGAGCGAACAGGAUUAGAUACCCUGGUAGUCCACGCCGUAAACGUUGGGAACUAGGUGUUGGCGACAUUCCACGUCGUCGGUGCCGCAGCUAACGCA
rnacentral:rRNA from 1 species